GAAACAAGUAUACUCUAGCACUGAAGCCUACAUUUGUUCUAGGGGCACCUACCAAUCUUGAUGGCCUAGAACUUCUGUUGUUUGGGGCCACUGACAUGAAGGGAGCAGGAGACAAAACCCUACGUUUGAUGAGAUUUUUACAACAACUCACAAUUAAACUCUGCAUUGAAAAGCAGCGGGGGAAAGGCAUCUAUCACCUCUUAGAUGAGCAGCCUGUGAAGUGGAGUGAGUACCUCCUUGUUAACAAAUGCCAUGCCUGGAUUUCCUUUCACUUGAGAACUCUUGCUAUCACCGCAGAUGGAGAAAGGGCCCUGGAGGACACAGGACUUCCUUAACAUCCCCGUCCAGAAUACAUGCCUUAAAAACCUGUC
ensembl:lincRNA